rnacentral:rRNA from 1 species
GAUGAACGCUGGCGGCGUGCCUAAUACAUGCAAGUCGAGCGAACGGACGAUAAUCUUUCUUCUCUGAUUUUAGCGGCUGACGUGUGAGUAACACGUGGAUAACCUACCUAUAAGACUGUUAUAACUUCUGGAAACCGGAUCUAAUACCGGAUAAUAUUUUGAACCGCAUGUUUCAAAAGUGAAAGACGUUCUUGCUUUCUCUUAUAGAUUGUUCCGCGCUGCAUUAGCUAGUUGGUAAGGUAACGGCUUACCAAGGCAACGAUGCAUAGCAGACCUGAGAGGGUGAUAGGAAAAACGGGAACUGAGAAACGGUAAAGACACCUACGGGAGGCAGCAGAAGGGAAUAGUCCGAAAUGGGCGAAAGCAUGAAGGAGAAAAGCCGAGUGAGUGAUGAAGGUCUUCGGAUCGUAAAACUCUGUUAUUAGGGAAGAACAUAUGUGUAAGUAAAUGUGCACAUAUUGACGGUACCUAAUCAGAAAGCAACGGCUAACUACGUG